UAUGCUCGAAAACGAUUGGUGAUCCAGG
rnacentral:piRNA from 1 species